AUGUUCUCUGUAGCUCUGCUGCUGCUGUUGGCAGCUGGAUGUGUAAAAUGUGAAACGCUGACUCAGCCAGCCUCUGUGACUGUGCAGCCAGGUCAACGUCUGACCAUCACCUGUCAGGUCUCUUAUUCUGUUGGUAGUGCUCCAACAGCUUGGAUCAGACAGCCUGCAGGGAAAGGACUGGAGUGGAUUAUCAGAGGAGGUGUUGGAUACAGCACAUACAUCAAAGAUUCCCUAAAGAACAAGUUCAGUAUCAGUUUUGAUUCUUCCAGCAACACAGUGACUCUAAACGGACAGAAUGUGCAGCCUGAAGACACUGCUGUGUAUUACUGUGCCAGAGAGACACCGCGACACAAAGCAUCAGUAGAGCUGAACAAAAACCCCUCAGUGCCUGAACACUUGUAA